rnacentral:rRNA from 1 species
UACGAAGGGGGCUAGCGUUGUUCGGAUUUACUGGGCGUAAAGCGCGUGUAGGCGGGUCGUUAAGUUGGGGGUGAAAUCCCGAGGCUCAACCUCGGAACUGCCUUCAAAACUGGCGACCUGGAGCAAAGAAGAGGCGAGUGGAAUUGCGAGUGUAGAGGUGAAAUUCGUAGAUAUUCGCAGGAACACCAGUGGCGAAGGCGGCUCUCUGGAACGCAACUGACGCUGAGACGCGAAAGCGUGGGGAGCAAACAGG